rnacentral:rRNA from 1 species
GCACCACAAGAACGCGUGGAGCAUGUGGCUUAAUUUGACUCAACACGGGAAAUCUUACCGGGUCCGGACAUACCGAGGAUUGACAGACUGUUAACUGCAACACAAGCUGCUAAGUUUUAAACUUAAUAGCUCUUUCAUGAUUAUAUGAUAGGUGGUGCAUGGCCGUUCUUAGUUCGUGGAGUGAUCUGUCUGCUUAAUUGCGUUUCAAAAUUUAAACCUGAGCGACAAGGUGCUGCUAUCGAAACUGUCUUUGAGUGUGAACUAUAAGUCUUUUGACUUAUGACCAUCACUCUAGACGUUUAUGUUUUGGUGUUGGCCCUUGAUGCUCAUUUGAACGCAACGGACGUGAUUGCAACCCCUUGUUGAGAUUUAUCCGAUCUCUACGUUCACUGAACCACACUCUUUAGCGAGAGCAGUGGGGAUGUGGAUAAACUCGGGGGACUGCUGACUAUAAACUU